AUUGAACGCUGGCGGCAUGCUUUACACAUGCAAGUCGAACGGUAACAGGCCUUCGGGUGCUGACGAGUGGCGAACGGGUGAGUAAUGCAUCGGAACGUACCCAGAGGUGGGGGAUAACGCAGCGAAAGCUGUGCUAAUACCGCAUGUGAUCUGAGGAUGAAAGCGGGGGACCGAGCAGCAAUGUUUGGCCUCGCGCCUUUGGAGCGGCCGAUGUCGGAUUAGCUAGUUGGUGGGGUAAAGGCCUACCAAGGCGACGAUCCGUAGCUGGUCUGAGAGGACAACCAGCCACACUGGGACUGAGACACGGCCCAGACUCCUACGGGAGGCAGCAAUGGGGAAUUUUGGACAAUGGGCGCAAGCCUGAUCCAGCAAUGCCGCGUGCGGGAAGAAGGCCUUCGGGUUGUAAACCGCUUUUGGCAGGAACGAAACGGUGUCCGCUAAUACAGGGCGCUAAUGACGGUACCUGCAGAAUAAGCACCGGCUAACUACGUG
rnacentral:rRNA from 1 species